GGCCAACUAUGAACAAGUUGUCAACCAUGUUGUUCCAAAUUGUUACAGGUGAACAAUGCUGUAACAACAUGUUGACAAUACUGUUCAUAGUGUCGAUAUCAACUUGCAACAAGUUGUUGAUUUUCUCAAUUUUUACGCGUGUAGGCAAGUAAAAAUUGAGAAAAUCAACAACUUGUUGCAAGUUGAUAUCGACAGGCGUGAACAAGGUUGUGCGGCCCACUAUGAACAGUACUGUCAACAUGUUGUUACAGCAUUGUUCAACUGUAACAACUUAGAACAACAUGGUUGACAACUUGUUCACAGUGGGCC